rnacentral:tRNA from 1 species
AAGGGUGUGGCUCAGUGGGAAGCACUUGCCUAGCAUGAGUGAGGCCCUGGGUUCCAUCCCCAGCACACAUG